rnacentral:lncRNA from 1 species
AACUUAUAGGAGAAGUUAUUGAUGUGGAUCAUGGAAUUAUUUGCGAAAAUGUUCCCAUACCUACACCAACGGGAGAAGUGGUGGCUUCCAGGCUAAACUUCAAAGCAGGUUGCCAUCUUUCUGCUUCCGCCUCCUCACCUUGACAAUGGGGAGAAUAACGGUAACCUGCCUUUUGGAUGUGAGGAUUAAAUGAGACAGUUGGUGCAAAGCAGUCGGCGCAGGAUCUGGCACAAAUGACAGUGGAUUCUAACAUCACGUAGCUUUCCAGAGGUACGUUGUAAUACAUUUCGAAUUCUGUGUAGAUUACGUCGUGUUCACCACCCCAAAACUAAUUAUAGUCCGUCACCUCACAUGUGAGCCUCAUCGCCCCUUUUGCUCUCUCCCCUCCCCCCCUCCCCCUACGGUAACCACCAAUCCAAUCUCCGUUGCUCUGUGCGUGUUCGUCAUUGUUUUUAUCAUGUACUUAUGAGUGAGAUCACACGGUGUUUGACUUUCUCCCUCUGAUUUAUUUCACUUCACAUAAUACCCUCAAGGUCCAUCCACGUUGUCACAAAUGGCCGGAUCUCAUCGUUUCUUAGGGCCGAGUGGCAUUCCAUUGUGUAUACAUACCACAUCUUCU